UUGCUGUGAUGACAAUCUUAGGACACCUUUGGAUUAACCAUGAAAAAAAUGAUGUUCUGAGCAAC
ensembl:snoRNA SNORD58 Small nucleolar RNA SNORD58